rnacentral:rRNA from 1 species
UGGGGAAUAUUGCACAAUGGGCGAAAGCCUGAUGCAGCAACGCCGCGUGAGUGAUGAAGGCCUUCGGGUUGUAAAGCUCUGUCUUUUGGGACGAUAAUGACGGUACCAAAGGAGGAAGCCACGGCUAACUACGUGCCAGCAGCCGCGGUAAUACGUAGGUGGCGAGCGUUGUCCGGAUUUACUGGGCGUAAAGGAUGCGUAGGCGGAUAUUUAAGUGAGAUGUGAAAUACCCGGGCUUAACUUGGGUGCUGCAUUUCAAACUGGAUAUCUAGAGUGCGGGAGAGGAGAAUGGAAUUCCUAGUGUAGCGGUGAAAUGCGUAGAGAUUAGGAAGAACACCAGUGGCGAAGGCGAUUCUCUGGACCGUAACUGACGCUGAGGCAUGAAAGCGUGGGUAGCAAACAGGAUUAGAUACCCUGGUAGUCCACGCCGUAAACGAUGAGUACUAGGUGUAGGAGGGUCCAACUUCUGUGCCGCAGUUAACACAAUAA